AAUCCAUUGUGUGGGAAGUCGCAUACUAGUCUCUUGAAUCUCGCCCAUACAUCACCGAGUGAUUCAACUUCUUUUUGUUCAAAACUGGUGAUCAAUUUCCUUCUUCU